UUAGCCGGGAUCAGCCUCUCUCCCCUGCCAAGAAACAGAGAGAGAGAUAUAAUGUGCUGAUCAGUGAGUUCACUUCGUUGAGACAGUAGUUUGUAUUCUUUACGCUAACUUACACUAACCUGACGGAGUGAUAUUGAUCUUCUCAUCUAAAUCUCAGAAAGAAAGCUAACACCCCGAAUGACGACUGACCUGUACCCACUUCCUCUUUACAACGAAAAUGACCACUAGAGGGGUGAAGAAGUUUUCAUGACACUUGGCACACUGGCAGACACUGAGUGAAUAUCAAACAAACCACAUGAGAGACAUUCCACUGGGUCAGACUGUCCUAAAGGUAAUUCAACCUCAAAGCCAGCCCAAACCUGUCUGUCGGAG